UACGGAAGGCAGCAGUGGGGAAUAUUGCACAAUGGGCGAAAGCCUGAUGCAGCUAUGCCGCGUGUAUGAAGAAGGCCUUAGGGUUGUAAAGUACUUUCAUCGGGGAGGAAAACAAAACUAAUAAUUUUAUUUCUUGACGUUACCCGAAAAAGAAGCACCGGCUAACUCCGUGCCAGCAGCCGCGGUAAUACGGGGGUGCUAGCGUUAAUCAGAAUUACUGGGCGUAAAGAGCACGUAGGUGGUUUUUUAAAGUCAGAUGUGAAAUCCCUGGGCUUAACCUAGGAACUGCAUUUUGAAACUGAAAUACUAGAGUAUCGUAGAGGGAGGUAGAAUUCUAGGUGUAGCGGUGAAAUGCGUAGAUAUCUGGAGGAAUACCUGUGGCGAAAGCGGCCUCCUAAACGAAUACUGACACUGAGGGUGCGAAAGCGUGGGGAGCAAACAGGGAUUAGAUACC
rnacentral:rRNA from 1 species